AGGUUGAGGCUGGGCGGAGGGAGAGGCGUGGUGUUUUGUGAUGGUCUAGAGGAGAGUUGAGCUGGCGGAGGGGAGCGGUGUCGUUUUGUGACUUGUCGAGAGGAGAGUUGAGCUGGCGGAGGGAGAGUGGUGGUGUUUUGUGACUGGUCUAGAGGAGAGUUGAGCUGGCGGAGGGAGAGCGGUGGUGUUUUGUGACUGGUCUAGAGGAGAGUUGAGUGGCGGAAGGGAGAGCGGGGUGGGUUUUGUGAAUGGUCUGAGGAGAGGAGCGAGUUGAGCUGGCGGAGGGAGAGUGUUUUGUGACUGGUCUAGAGGAGAGUUGAGCUGGGGAGGGAGGAUGCGGGGGUGUUUGUGACUGGUCUGAGGAGAGUUGAGCUGGCGGAGGGAGG
rnacentral:lncRNA from 1 species